rnacentral:rRNA from 1 species
GACGAACGCUGGCGGCGUGCCUAAUACAUGCCAGUCGAGCGAAGUUUUUCUGGUGCUUGCCCUAGAAAAACUUAGCGGCGAACGGGUGAGUAACACGUAAAGAACCUGCCUCAUAGACUGGGACAACUAUUGGACACGAUAGCUAAUACCGGAUAACAGUAUUUCUCGCAUGAGAGAUAUUUAAAAGUUGGUUAUGCUAACACAAUGAGAUGGCUUUGCGGUGCAUUAGCUAGUUGGUGGGGUAAAGGCACACCAAGGCGACGAUGCAUAGCCGACCUGAGAGGGUGAUCGGCCACACUGGGACUGAGACACGGCCCAGACUCCUACGGGAGGCAGCAGUAGGGAAUCUUCCGCAAUGGGCGAAAGCCUGACGGAGCAACGCCGCGUGAGUGAAGAAGGACUUCGGUUCGUAAAGCUCUGUUGUUAGGGAAGAAUGGAUAUGUAGUAACUAUACAUGUAAGAGACGGUACCUAACCAGAAAGCCACGGCUAACUACGUG